GCCAGCAGCCAUAUCACCCUGCAACUCCCAGCUGGCAGCCCACUGAAGCUCAGCAGGUGUGAGCCUGGUCAGUACCUGGAUGGGAGACUCCUGGGAAAGCUAAGGCUGCUGCUGGAA
rfam:Lepisosteus oculatus linkage group LG20, whole genome shotgun sequence.